CGCAGGCGCAGUCCUGUCGCGGCGGCCCGGUCCCCGGGCCCGACUGGGCGACGGCGCAGGCGCAGUUUGGGCGUCCCGGCCCCGCCCCCGGGUCGGCUGGCGGGUGGGCGGCUGGAACGUCUGCGGGCGGUGGCGGGUCUGGCGGCCUGCGCCGCAUUCCUGGGUCGCCUGUUGGCGGCGGCCCGCUCGCGGUGGCCCGGCGCCCAGCCCGUCCUGCAGCAGAGCCGCGGAGCCUCGGGGCGGGGACCCUCCCCCCCACCUGCGGCGGACGCGGGGCCGACCUUCCCGCGGGGCCCACGGUCGCGGGACGGCCGCGCCGGGAGCCCGGCUUACCCUGAAGCCGCGCCGAGUGUCCUCCUUCGUGCAUGGUGCUGCGAGGGCUGCCGCGGCUUCGUGCGCCGUGCGUCUAAGCCCUUAAUUCUAAGACGAUAAGGUGCUUCCAUGCGCGGCCUCGCUCACUGCAGCACGGGGAUUAAAACUUAAGCCCUGCGGGGGGCCGGGGAAAGACCCUCUGUGCAGCGCCCGGCGCCCCGGCGACCUCGUCCUGAGCAGCCCCUCGGGGGAAGGCCCGGCGCCAGCAGGUGCUGAGCGCGCGGGAACGCGGGCGGGCUUCGGGGUGUGUACGCCUCUGGACGUGUAAUGUGCAGUUGCCGAAUACAGACUUGUGUGCGGGCCACACAGAUGGUGCACACUGAAUUUACCUUGUGUUGUGCGAACGUGAGACAAGCGUGCACUUUACAAAGUCUGAACGAUUAGGAGAUUCAAACGUCGCUGUCCUGAUGGAGUUGUACUGGAAGGGGACCAAGCCCGCCCACUCACGUCCUGCCUACAGCAGCUUUCCCAAGGCACAGGCCAAGUUCAGGAGUGGAAAGAGACACGUGACUGCAACAGCUAUGAAUACCUGCUCUCUAGCCCUUUGCAGAAGUUGUGGACUCCUGCCCUGGAUGAAUGAACAGCCUCCUGCCUCAUCCCUGCUGUGCUCACCUGUCUACCGACACCCUCAGGGGGCUCUCUGUUUCCCCCAAAGCCAGAGUUCUUACAGUCGAGGUGACCAGGCCCGCACUGCCCUCCCUCGCUGACCCGACUCCAGCCACCCUGUCCUCUGUGCCCCACCUCAGGGCCUUGGCUCUGGCUGUUCCCUCCAACCGGAAAGCUUUUCCUCAAUUGUGGCUGCCUCACCCCUCACCUCUUCAGGUCUUUGCCCACACGUCACUGUGCCGGGGAAGCUCUCUCUGACCACUCUGUGAGGCACGUCCCUCCCCUCACCCCCUCCCCCAGCUUCGUGGCCGGCCUCCCUGACUGCAAUCGAUGCUCCGAGAGCGGAGGGCCUUGUUUGUCGUGUGCACUGACGUGUGCCACCCAGCACGAGAAGACCAAGCACGUCCUAAGUCGUGGCAGAAGAUGUUGACUGAGUCCCCACGACUGCCAGGAGCCGAGCUAGGUGGGGACGGGAAAGGUUCCGCUAGCAGAACGGCAGCGACCCUUCCUCCCUCCGACAGGUCAGCCAGGCGUGGCCCGCGCUGACCCUUCGUAGGAAUGAUUGAGUCCACAUGGCGGUCGUGUAACUUAAUGCCUGAACGGGACGCUCUGGGCACGAAGUGGAGUGCUACUUCUAGUGGCGAAGCCAGCACCAGCACAAACUGGAACUGUCCCAGCGAGUCGGGAUGCACGGUGACUGCGUUGAACGGCCGUGUCCGUCCACUUAGUAAAUCUUUGAUGAGCGCCUUCCACCCUGUGCAAGGCCGGGGCAGGGUCGAGAGGUGAGGGGUGGCGGCAGGUGGACGCCAAGCCUGGCCUGGGAGGGGGAGCUGCGGCCGCCGGGGUGCAGUUGGACAGUGACAGCAGCCGAACCCCAAAGCUCUGUACUCCGGAAUCGACGUGCUCUCAGUACUCCCCGUCUGGAUACCGCGAUACCCGCAUCCGGGUGUCUCCAUUGCUGCUCUCCCCGGGACCUCUCGGGCCUCCUGGGGUGGGGGCUGGAACGGAGGCUGCAGGGCCCCUGGGACCAGCGAGAGGAAGCGCCCCUGCGGCCACCACCUGUGAAGUGUUUUCAUCUUCCCUUCGCUGUUAGAGGCAAGAGAACUCCAGACUACUGAUGUAGAUGUGUGAGGGUGUCCCCACAGUUUGCCUCCGGGGACUCUUGGCCAGGAGUGACCUUCCUUUUUGGGGGUAGGUGAGCUUCCGGAAAGCCUGCCAUGCAGCCCUGAAACCUCGGAGCUGUGCCAGAUGGUUCUUGCCUUGGUGACGUUGAUGUCAUGGUGCCGCCAGCCUGGGGAGUGACGCGGCCAGAAACAGGAAGGCGCAGAGGCCCCUGGCACAGAGUAGGUGUGCCGUGAACACUGGCUGCCUAUAGCUGACAUCAGGACAGGCGACCCAGUGUGCCCGGGGCCACCGCCCAGCCCCCAGCCCCCAGCCACAGCCCUGCCGCUGAGACCUCAGGGCUUCCCUUUCCCCACCUCUCAGGUGAUGUAGUGAGGGGCAUGAGGACGCUGUGAAGCAGGAGGGUAGGAGUUGUGCCCGCUGGAACCCCCACACCUCCAGACCUGCCCCUCUGCUCCGAGGGUGGACGGGUCCUGUUCAGGUAGGGGCCCAAAGGGGGAGGCACCUGGCUGGCCGGGAAAGUGAGGACGAGGAAGCAGCUGGGAAUAAGCCCUGGGAGACUCCAUUGGGGUUUGGCCCCUUCCUGGGGUGUAGAAGAGGGGAGUGGAGGAGAACUGGGGAUGACCGUGUCAGGUCGCUCAUGGUGCGGGGAGGUGCUGAGGUGAUGGUCCCGGGGGUGAACCGUGGCAUGUUCACGUGCAGACCCUGCAGGGGCCUAAGGAGAGAAAUGCCAGAAUUGGCAAGGGACCCAGGCAGACAGGAGCUGCAGAUGGGGCACCAGCAGCAGUGAUGACCUCAGGGGAAAUGGAGUGAAAGCCGGAAGCUCACAGCAGCGCCUACCUGGAGGGGCCUUGUGGCUGGGAUGGGGUCCUAGGGAGCACACAGGGCAUCGAGCACCAGGGCCCUGGGCCAGGAACCAGCUCCUGUGGUUCCUUACAGGAACCAGUAAGCCGAGCAGGAAGAGGCCAGAUCAGGAAGGGGCUUGAGGGUCUUCCAAGGUUGGAGUGGGCAAGGGUCCAGGGAGGAGGACAGGCGGUAAAGCCAGACUGGAUGGUGACAUAACCCCAGGGGAGCAGCUGUGGCUGCUGCUGGAGGGAGCCGAGGGAACCCAAGAGGCGUCCUAGAGAAGAAUUCAGAAGGGAUGCGCCGGUGGGAGCAGACCCCGAGUGGUGCAGGGACUCGGGUGGACGCCCGCGCUGGCCCCGGCCUUCGCUCAGGAGGACACCAGCCUGCGGCAGCUGGCUCCGUUUUAUCUUCCAAGGUGGAAGUGGCUUUGCAGUUUAUGGCCAUUUCUAGGGUUGCCGGAUGUAGCAAGUAAAAGUACACAUGUUGUAUGGGGCAUCUUCACACUAAAAAAUUACUUAUUUGAAAUUUGAAGUUUAUCUGGGUAUACUGUAUUUCCUCUAGCAACUGCAACCAUAACAGGUAUAAAUAAUCCAGCUAACACGAAAAUAAAAAGUGAGAACUCUCUACAAUCCCACCCCAAAAGGGUAAUCUCGAAAGCAAUUCGAUGUGUAUCUUGCCCAGGUGUUUUUUUUUUUUUUUUUUUUAAUGUUUAUUUUUGAGAGAGAGAGACAGGGCAUGAGCAGGGGAGGGGCAGAAAGAGAGAGGGAGACAGAAUCCGAAGCAGGCUCCAGGCUCCAAGCUGUCAGCACAGAGGCCGACGCGGGGCCCGAGCCCACGAACCGUGAGAUCAUGACCUGAGCCGAAGGCAGGCACUUAACCAACUGAGCCCCCCAGGUGUCCCUUGCCCAGGGUUUUCAUACAAGCUUGCAGAUCAAAAGAACAAAAAGGAUUUUGCUGUAUGUAUUCUUCUCUAAUCUGAUUUCACUUAACGAAACACCUAUUUCCAUGUGAAAUCAGCCCAGCUGUGUCCAGCUCCCUGUCUGGAACCGUUCUCGGAGAAGCCGGCCUGCUCUGACACCGCGGUGGGUCCCUCCGGUUAUUUCAUCAGAAAACAUGCUUAGCAGUGGAAUUUUUUUAAUUGAAGAUUUUAUGGAGAUAGUUACAGACUCCUACGCAAUUCCAAGAAAUAAUGCUAAAGGGCCCCUGGUACAGGUGAGCUAGACUUACCCAAUGGUAACUAACGUUCUUUAAAAGGGUAGCGGGAGAAUCACAGCCAGAAUAGUGACGCUGAUAUGGUUCACUGACUUUGUUCCACUUCCCCCAGUUUUACUUGUCCUAAUGUAUGCAUCAAAUUCUGGACGUUUAUUUUUAUUUUUUUUUAAUAUUUAUUUCUGAGAGACAGAGUGAGACAGAGCAUGAGCAGGGAAGGGACAGAGAGCGAGGGAGACAGAAUCUGAAGCCAGCUCCAGGCUCUGAGCUGUCAGCACAGAGCCCAACACGGGGCUCGAACUCAUGAACCGUGAGAUCAUGACCUGAGCCGAAGUUGGACGCUCAACCGACUGAGCCACCCAGGCACCUCUUACUUCCCCGUUUUAGAAGUUGUAUUUAGUUGGAUGUACAGAGAGAGAUGAGUCCACAUCAUCUACUCUUGAACCAGAAGUCCCUGGUGUUAUUUUUUCGUUUUACUUAUGUAAGUAUUUCUUCAAUGUAUUUUUACAACAGCUUUCUUAAGAUAUAAUUCACAUACCAUACAAUUCACUCAUUUAAAAUGUACAAUUUAAUGGUUUGUAGUGUAUGUGUGGGGUUGUGAAACCCUCACCACUCAAUCUUAGAACACCAUCAUCCCCAAAGAAACCCCAUACCCAUUAAAAGUCAGUCCCCAUUUCUUCCUCCCCUGAGGCCUGACAACCACAGAUAUGCUUUCUGUGUCUAUAGAUUGGCCUAUCAUUGACAUUUCACAUAAAUGGAAUCAUUCAAUAUGUGGCCUGUGGGCAUCUUUCCUUUGCGUAAUGUUUUCAAGAUUCAUCCGUGUAAUUUCAGUACUCUGUUCCUUUGUUUGUGGACACAUAACAUUUUAUCUGUCUAUGCAUCUGUUGAUGGCCAUUUGGUUUAUUUUCACUUACUGACUAUUGUGAAUAACAUUGCUGUGAAUCUCCCUGUACAA